UCUCUCUCCUAUCUUCCACUUCUAGUAUAUAUUAUUCUUUUGUCUGUUUCAUAGAAAAACAAGCCCCUUUCAAAUCGACUGUUGCAUUUGUAGUGGUUUAUGCAAAAUCGAAGGCGGGUUUAGGGUUAAGCCGAUGGUCCUGAUGGAAGGGAGGCGUAAGAUCACUGAGCUGCUGCUGCUGCUGCUGCUGAUUGGUUGCUCUGCUUCUCAGAUCCAAGCUUCUUCUGAAAACGAACCCGAUGCGAUCUUCUACGAGCCAUUUUCUGUGUCAUUUGAAGGUCGCUGGAUCGUUUCUUCCAAGGAUGAGUACAAAGGUGUCUGGAAACUGUCCAAGAGUGAGGGACAUGAUGAUUAUGGUCUUUUGGUCAGUGAGAAGGCGAGGAAGUAUGCUGUAGUGAAAGACCUGGGUAAGGCUGUGAGCCUUAAGGAUGGAACCAUUGUCCUGCAGUUUGAGGUUAGGUUCCAGAAUGGGCUUGAGUGUGGCGGUGCUUACUUGAAAUACCUCCGGCCCCAGGAGGCUGGAUGGAAACCAGAGGAAUUUGACAACGAUUCUCCCUACUCCAUUAUGUUUGGACCUGACAAAUGUGGCUCCACAAACAAGGUUCAUUUCAUCUUUAAGCACAAGAACCCCAAGAGUGGAGAGUAUGUUGAGCACCAUCUCAAGGACCCUCCAUCUGUGCCCUCUGACAAACUCUCUCAUGUCUACACUGCAAUACUGAAACCUAACAAUGAAGUUAGAAUUUUAAUAGAUGGGGAGGAGAAGAAGAAGGCAAAUUUCCUUUCAGCUAAUGAUUUCGAGCCUGCCUUAAUUCCGGCCAAGACAAUUCCUGACCCAGAUGAUAAGAAGCCAGAGGACUGGGAUGAGCGGGCAAAGAUUCCAGAUCCACAUGCUGUGAAGCCAGAUGAUUGGGAUGAGGAUGCACCAAUGGAAGUCGAAGAUGAGGAUGCUGUAAAACCUGAAGGGUGGUUGGAUGAUGAGCCUGAAGAGAUUGAUGACCCUGAAGCUACAAAGCCAGAAGAUUGGGACGAUGAAGAGGAUGGUGUAUGGGAACCAACAAAAACGGAUAACCCCAAGUGUUCGUUGGCACCGGGUUGUGGAGAAUGGAAGAAGCCAAUGAAGAUAAAUCCUGCUUAUAAAGGAAAAUGGAGCCCUCCUCUUAUUGACAACCCCAGUUACAAGGGUAUUUGGAAACCUCAAGAAAUUCCAAACCCUAGCUACUUUGAGACUGAGAAGCCUGACUUUGAGGCCAUCACUGCUAUUGGCAUUGAGAUCUGGACAAUGCAGGAUGGCAUAUUGUUUGACAAUAUUCUCAUAGCUGAUGAUGAGAAGGUUGCUGAAUCUUAUAGGCUAACAACAUGGAAGCCGAAGUUUGAAAAUGAGAAAGAGAAACAGAAGGCUGAGGAAGAAGCUGCUGGUCUUUCAGACGGACUCUCAGGCUUCCAGAAAAAAAUAUUUGACCUUCUCUACAAAAUAGCAGACGUUCCUUCUUGGAUGCGUACAAACCCAAGAUCAUUGACCUAAUUGAGAAGGGAGAAAAACAGCCGAAUAUUACAAUUGGUAUCAUUGUAUCCAUCGUGGUUGUUCUUUUGACAGUUGUCUUUAAAAUCCUUUUUGGUGGCAAAAAACCCAAGGUCACUGUUCCUGAAACAGUUAGGCCUGCAGCUGCAGAGGCUUCCAACACUCAAGGAAGCAGUGAGGAGAAGGAAGAUGAGAGUGAGAAGGAAGAUGCUGCUGCUCCUCCCCGCAGGCGGCCUACCAGAAGGGAAACUUAAGUAGCAUGUGCUUGUUAUGUUUGCAAAAUUUUGAGAUAGAACCUAAAUGGCUGGAUCUGUUACUAAUACGUUUCCAGAGAAUUUUCUUUUCUACUUCUUAUCAGAACACUUGCAUGAGUAUGGAUUCGCUAUACUCGCAUGUGCUGAUCGUUAUUUUACUUUUUCUAAUGUGUUCUGUUGGAGGUAGAUGUUGUUCCACUAUAUGACAGUUGUACUCCCGAUUUACCCCCCCCCCCUCAGUCUUCGUUAUAAGUUAUGGAAUGCUUUGUGUUUCUGAUGUC